rnacentral:rRNA from 1 species
UACAGAGGUCCCAAGCGUUGUUCGGAUUCACUGGGCGUAAAGGGUGCGUAGGCGGCCGGGUAAGUCUGCUGUGAAAUCCCGCAGCUCAACUGCGGAACUGCAUUGGAUACUAUCCGGCUAGAGGAAUGGAGGGGAGACUGGAAUUCUCGGUGUAGCAGUGAAAUGCGUAGAGAUGUGGAGGAACACCGAUGGCGAAGGCAGCCUCCUGGGCCAGCACUGACGCUCAUGCACGAAAGCGUGGGGAGCAAACAGG